GACGAACGCUGGCGGCGUGCUUAACACAUGCAAGUCGAACGGAAAGGCCCUGCUUUUGUGGGGUGCUCGAGUGGCGAACGGGUGAGUAACACGUGAGUAACCUGCCCUUGACUUUGGGAUAACUUCAGGAAACUGGGGCUAAUACCGGAUAGGAGCUCCUGCUGCAUGGUGGGGGUUGGAAAGUUUCGGCGGUUGGGGAUGGACUGGCGGCUUAUCAGCUUGUUGGUGGGGUAGUGGCUUACCAAGGCUUUGACGGGUAGCCGGCCUGAGAGGGUGACCGGCCACAUUGGGACUGAGAUACGGCGCAGACUCCUACGGGAGGCAGCAGUGGGGAAUAUUGCACAAUGGGCGGAAGCCUGAUGCAGCAACGCCGCGUGCGGGAUGACGGCCUUCGGGUUGUAAACCGCUUUCGCCUGUGACGAAGCGUGAGUGACGGUAAUGGGUAAAGAAGCACCGGCUAACUACGUG
rnacentral:rRNA from 1 species